CCUGACAAACAUAGGUUGCCAAGGAUUAUUCUAGUCUGCUGUUUGCUCCAUAACAUAAUCAUUGAUUUGGAAGAUGAGGCACAGGAUGAUAUUCCUUUAUCUCAUGAGCAUGACCCAGACUACCAACAACAGAUUUGUGAAUCCGUCGACAUAAAAGGCGUGUAUCUGAGAGACAAGCUGUCUUUAUGCUUGUCUGGAAGAUAUCAUGAACAUUUUCUAUUUUCAACAGCUUGGUUAGCCACUGAAGAAGUCAACUGUUACUUGAGAGUGCUUUUGAGACAUGAUCUCUCAAUGCGUGCUAUAAAGAUGCAGUCAGUUUUCCCUUUUUUAUUGUAAUUUUUAUUUUUAAAAUUGUAAAUAGCCUAGCUGAAAUGGUGGCAUCAUUCAUGAAACUAUUAAGGUAAUGGCUGGGACAACCAUGCAAGUCU
rnacentral:misc_RNA from 1 species